AUGGGGAUGAGGCGCCGGAUCCGGGCGUGGCCCGGGGUGGGCGUGGCGCUCUGGGGGUUCCUGCUCCAAGUGGCCGUGACCCUGCUGGAGUCCGGGGGGGGCCUCCAGCCCCCCGGGGGGUCCCUGACUCUGGUCUGCCGUGGGUCUGGGUUCAAUUUCGGGAGUUUAGCCAUGUUCUGGAUCCGGCAGAGCCCCGGGAAGGCGCUGGAACACGUCGCAGGGAUCUGGAGCAGUGGUGGUUACACCGACUACGCGCCGUCAGUCAAGGGCCGGUUCAGGAUCUCCAGGGACAACGGGCAGAGCUCGGUGACGCUGACCAUGAACAACCUCAAGGACGAGGAUUCUGGUUCCUAUUUCUGUGCCAAACGUUACGGCAGUUAUUGGUACGCUGGUGCUGUUGAUGCAGUUGGUGUCGUUGUUUUUGGUAACAGCGCUGCUAGUGGUCACUAG